GCCCUUGCGCACGACGGAGGGCGGCCCAUGGUCUGUGGGUCGGAUGUCUGGCGGUCACACCCGCCGGGAAGAUCUUCUGGCGGAAACAGAAUCUGCUCCUUUCGGGAAAGGCUGAUUGCGCGGUUACGUGCAGCGUGUGUUGAGGAGUGGCUCUGGAAACUUAAAGAGCCCGACGAUCAAGUGAUCUUGCCAACUACCGUUUUAAUCAGCAUGUUUUAUUUUGUUGUGGUACAGGCUCAGAGCCCAAUGCAAGCCCUGGCAGAUGUCUUCAACACCAGAGUGACACUCAGCCUGAAGGCCAGGAUUGAAGACUGGAAGUACAGGGGCAAGAAAUACCUUUGAAAAUACUCCAGUGUCCAAACUGCUCACUGGUGUUGCUGCCUUUUGAGCCAGGGCACGAGGCUUUGUUGAGGUCACUACUUUUCAUUCCCUCCAAGAUGGACAAGAUGUUUGUUUUGUGCACAGUAAGUGGAACACAGGGCCUCCGGCAUGGUGCUUGUAUGUUCCCUUCAGAAACUAAGGAAUGGAGCAGUGUCUUGAACGUGCUACACAAGCCCCCUAACAGCCAAGCGAAUCCAGCAGCUCUACAGACAUCCUUUCACUGAGCAGUUAUUUCUCCUCCGAUGUUCUGAUCGCUGUGGGCAGCCUCCAAACACUUUUUGAAAAAGCUGGAGAGAAAGGCGAGCUUGAAAAGGGGAAUGCAGGAUAGAGGCAAAGGGAGAGAAGCAGGCAAUCAACUGUGUUCAUCUCAACAGGGCUGGGGCCUGCAGGCUGCUGGCAGCACCAAGCUAAGGUGCAUUUCCACUCAACAGAAAGGCCUCCAUCCUAAACCAAGUGGGCAGAGGUUAAUGCUUUAUAUAUAUUUAUAUAUUUAUAUAUUACAUAUGUUCUAGAUAUACAUAUGUCCCAUAUGUAUAGAGUGACAAGAAUGGGCCACUUUGUGUAACUUUAAUUAAAGGCCAUAGCAACAGACAUAGAAAUUUGAUCCUAAUUAAGGCCCGUACUUUGUCAAUCAAAUGUGUGAUACAGUAAAAGAAAAAGGAGAGAGACAGAGACUGAGAUCCAGCCACCUCCAGGAGUCCUGUCUCCAGGGUAUCUUACAUUGAGUGUAGUGCCCCCUGUACAGGUGAACAUAAACACACACAUAAACACACACAUAUAAUACCACAGGCAGGAGCACCUCUUCUGACCACACCUUGGGCCCAGCCUUUGGCUGCAGUGCUGAAGUGGAGUAUAUUGUGCUAUAAGACUGUGAGGGUAGUGGACCAGACAAUGUGGAGUCAGUGUGUCCAAGUGAUGAAUGGGGUGACUCAUGCAGCUUCAUCUACAAAUGACAGAGAGCUCAGGGGAGGUCCCUCAAUGCACAGUUCACAUCAGGAGAUUUCUACACACAGCUCCUGUUCCAGAGAAAGCCAUUCCUCUGAUUUGAAUCCUGAGUGUCAAUCACAGGGUUCUGACAGAAACCUGGGAUCCCUUUGAAGGGCAGGCAGCCGCAAGGCUCCGCCAUUCAGUCCAGUGGAGCAGCAGAGAGCACAACAGUGGAGUCAAAGCAAAUGAUGCGCAGACAGGACCCUGAAUGGUGCAAGAGGGGCUCAUUUCCCAAAAGGUCGAGAAGGACUGCUGCCCUUUGCCACACAGAACUUCUGGCAGAUCUGUCAGCUUCAUGUCUUACAUAAGUAACAGACCUGCUCCUAAGCCAGGGAAGGAGACGCCCAACAUUAGGGCACUGGAAAUCCUAACUCCCUGUUUUCUCUCCCCGAAUUUACCCACUACCACCCACCAAAAUAUGCAUAUUGAAAAUAAGUCAACAUAUUUGGCAGUAUGAUUUUUAGUACUAAGAGAAUUUCUUAAUUUUUCAACCUAAUUUUACACUCAAUAAAUAAUAAUUAA
ensembl:antisense 1110002L01Rik RIKEN cDNA 1110002L01 gene